CACUAGUAGAAGGAAAAAUUAAAACCCUCCAAGGAAUAGAACCAAAAUGGAUAACAAGGGAUAUCUGUGGCAGUGCUGAGUUGAACUCUUUGUCCUUUAUUGAAACUAUUAGAUUAAUCCAUUCAAGAGUAAGCCAUGGUGACUCCAAAGAAAACAUGCUCUUCCACACAGAAUCAAUCACUUGACAAUUCCUUCUACAAGGAACCAAAAAAAUGUGUUAGAAUUACAUUAACAUGCUCAUAAUUUGUUUGUCUAGAAUCUCUUAAAAAAGUACACCAUAUUGCUUAUUCUCUAUGGCUUCUUUUCUUUCCUUAUCUCUUCCCAAAUUAAACUUAAUAAAAGCCUCUUCAGCUGCUACUACAACUACAACAACAACAACUCCUGAGUCACUCAAUGAGAAAUAUGGAAGAAAAGGUAUCAAAUUCUUGGAGUCUAAUAGCAUUCCCAUUGUUGAGUUGACUGUUAGAAAUGGAAGCUCAUUGAGUUUAAGAAUACCUGAUGCUCAUGUUACAUCUUACAAACCAAAAGUGUUUUGGAAAGAUGAUGGAUGUGAGGAAUUUCUUUACACAAUUCCUGCUGAUGAAACUGGUCUUUAUAAAGCCAAAGGUGGAAUUGGUUUGGUUUUCAAUGAAGUGUUACAACCUGGUGCAAAAGAGUUGUUUCCUUCUACUUUAGAAUGGACUGUUAAUGAUGUUGAUUAUGAUGCCAUUGAUGCUCUUCAGGUUGAAUUGAUCAGCACUAAUAGAUUUUUUGACAUCACAUACAUUGUGUCCCUAUAUCCUGUGAGCAUGGCAACAGCAGUUAUAGUUAAGAACAAAGCUCCAAAACCAGUCACUCUAACCAAUGCUAUACUAAGCCAUUUUAGAUUUAAGAGAAGAGGUGGAGCUGCAAUUAAAGGUCUUCAAACUUGCUCAUACUCCACACUCACUCCUCCUGUUUCUCCUUUUCAAAUCUUGACUCCAUCAGAAGCAAUUAAAUCUCAGUCUCAGAGAUUGAUUUCAUUUGGUGCCGAGCCUGAAGUGAAGCAAGGUUCAUGGACUAAACAAGAAGUUCCUAUUACUCUCCUUGAAAAUAAGAUGAGUAGAGUUUUUGCUGCACCUCCGGAAGAAAGAUCAAAGGCUUUUUAUAACACACUACCUUCAAAAUACGAAAUCAUCGAUCAGGGACGCGAGAUUUUCUACAGGGUGAUAAGAAUGGGAUUUGAGGAUAUUUAUGUGUCAAGUCCUGGUUCAUUGUCGGAGAAAUACGGAAACGAUUAUUUUGUAUGCACCGGUCCUGCUUCAUUAUUGGUGCCUGUGACUGUGAAUCCUGGUGAAGAAUGGAGAGGAGCACAAGUUAUUGAGCAUGAUAAUCUCUCAUAAUCAAAUCAUUAUUUGAAACCUUUCCUUUCACCCUUUCUUUCUCUUUGUAUUGUUCUUCCUUUGUAUGUAUAUUUGUUUAGUUGAUUUUAUGUCCUAUAGUACAAUACUAUCAAUAAAAUAGUUUACAUGAUAUUUGCAGAUCCCUUAGAAUGCCUAAAUGAUGCAAAAUA